rnacentral:lncRNA from 1 species
CAGGAAGUAGAAGGGUUCUAUUUUGGAUGUGGCAACUGAUAAGCCUGUUAAGGCCCCGCUUCCUUGGGGAGCAGCUGUGGAAAGGGGUCGUCCCGUUCGCUGGCUAGCAGUUGGGGACCAAAUGAGGGAGGCGCGCUGCAGAGUCCGUAAUCCAGCAUCUGAUGGUAGCUACAGAAAUAUAAAAACGGCGACUGGAAGCAUGGUUACCACGGGAUGUGUUCUUUUAGAUGGAGACCUCUGGUCACACCUCCCUUGAUAACUGAGGUAACAUUUGGCAUUUUUCUGCAGAGCAUCCGGAGAGAGCGGACCUUGCCAGUCUCACCGUUCCGAGGCGGUAGAAGCGGUUAUGCAAGUCGCGUUGUGGGGCGCCCCCCUCCCUCAGAUCACCUGGACAGCUGUCUGCUUACAUGUGAUGACCACAGAUCCAGGAGCCAGCGCUUCUCCUGCACGGCCAGCAGUUCCCGUCUCCAGCUAGUUGGGCACUGUCUUCCCAGGACCGUGCCGUAACUACCUUUCCUGCAUGCAACACCUUGGUUAUGAUUUUGAUAAAUGUUUUCCUGGAAUCAACUUUGAUGUGACACCUUCC